AUUAGUGGCGGACGGGUGAGUAACGCGUGGAUAACCUGCCGUAUACAGGGGGAUAACACUUAGGAAUAGGUGCUAAUACCGCAUAAGCGCACGGUUCCGCAUGGAACAGUGUGAAAAACUCCGGUGGUAUACGAUGGAUCCGCGUCUGAUUAGCCAGUUGGUGGGGUAACGGCCCACCAAAGCGACGAUCAGUAGCCGGCCUGAGAGGGUGAACGGCCACAUUGGGACUGAGACACGGCCCAAACUCCUACGGAAGGCAGCAG
rnacentral:rRNA from 1 species